GUUGUACUAAUUAAUGACUGAAGAUAGCCUAAGCAGUGAGCACGUACAAAAUAAAGAGACUAAUUAAGCACAUGUUCUGCAUAUUUUUUUUCGUUAGUAUUAACUUAAUUAAUUAGUGAUGGAAACUGAACAAUUGAAGGCUAAGUAUGCUCUAAUUCUUCGUCUGCAAGCUCAAUUACUGGAGCAAAACAGAAAAUUUAGAGGAAACACUUUUCAACCAGUACAUGAUGUGCUACCGAAUUCGUCCCUGACGGAAAGGGAAAAUGAGCUGGCAGUGGGAUUCAAGAAGUACGAAAAGGGGAAAAAUGGGCUUCCAGUUCUACAACGGAAACAAAAAGGAAAAGAAAAUCUUAGUAAGCCUUGCAAUCAGCUUUUCUGUUGCAUGAUGAAAAAAUGGCAUAGUUAUUAUAUCUGUCCCAUCGAACAAGACUUGGAGGAAUUAUCCAGAAUGUCACUAGGUAUUUGUUCAGUAAGCUACUAUUGAGACUGGUCCAUUAGAGAAAUGUUAGCUGAAUUAGAGAAAUUCUUCAAAGGACUGGAUAUCUGUGGAGGCUACUGCUUGUGUGUGAAGAGUGGAAAGUUCCUGAAACAUUUUCAAAGUAAUGUUCCCGAUGGAAAAUCUAUCAAGGUAACUUAGUUGUAAUGCAAAACUUACAAAUAAACAAAAUAAAUGUCAGGUUAUGAUCUA